rnacentral:rRNA from 1 species
ACACGACUACAUUAGAUACCCGGGUAGUCCCAGCCCUAAACGAUGCGCGUUAGGUGUAUCGGUGACCACGAGUCACCGAGGUGCCGAAGGGAAACCGUGAAACGUGCCGCCUGGGAAGUACGGUCGCAAGGCCGAAAACUUAAAGGAAUUGGCGGGGGAGCACCACAACGGGUGGAGCCUGCGGUUUAAUUGGACUCAACGCCGGGAAGCUCACCGGAUAAGACAGCGGAAUGAUUGCCGGGCUGAAGACCCUGCAUGACCAGCUG